rnacentral:rRNA from 1 species
ACGCACGCUGGCGGCGUGCCUAAUACAUGCCAGUUGAGCGCUGAAGGUUGGUACUUGUACCAACUGGAUGAGCAGCGAACGGGUGAGUAACGCGUGGGGAAUCUGCCUUUGAGCGGGGGACAACAUUUGGAAACGAAUGCUAAUACCGCAUAAAAACUUUAAACACAAGUUUUAAGUUUGAAAGAUGCAAUUGCAUCACUCAAAGAUGAUCCCGCGUUGUAUUAGCUAGUUGGUGAGGUAAAGGCUCACCAAGGCGAUGAUACAUAGCCGACCUGAGAGGGUGAUCGGCCACAUUGGGACUGAGACACGGCCCAAACUCCUACGGGAGGCAGCAGUAGGGAAUCUUCGGCAAUGGACGAAAGUCUGACCGAGCAACGCCGCGUGAGUGAAGAAGGUUGUCGGAUCGUAAAACUCUGUUGGUAGAGAAGAACGUUGGUGAGAGUGGAAAGCUCAUCAAGUGACGGUAACUACCCAGAAAGGGACGGCUAACUACGUG